AAAUUUUGUACGUGUGAAUAGCCACUUAUCUAUGUUCUGAAAUAAAAUAUUCUGAAAAGUGCCACCCAUUCAACAUCACAGUUUAUCCUCUGCCUAUCAAUCAUUCAAAUGCAUUCAUAAAUCUCUGUCCAACCCCAAACAAAUUCAUUUUGUUUCCUAACACGGUUUCGCAACACCGACCAUUUUCGCCAUAACACCGGCUCCUCGGUGGAUAAAAGGGCAGCGCUUGGCCCCUUGAUGCUUCAGUUCAGAUCCGUUCUACGUCGCUUGCUCAUCCGGCACAGUUGGUUAGGAGUUCCAUGAUGACUUUUCGAGGAAUAAGUGUGUGCGUGGUGUGUGUCGCCGUGAUGCUGAUGACGUGCUCUGCCCAGACGAGCACCGAACAGGAAGUUGAAACGGACUCCGUGAAACCCGGUUCCUGUCCUCCUAUCACGGCGUCACAGCUUUUACAGCAGGGCAUCAAGAAUCUGGAGUGCCAGCAGGAUUCGGAUUGUGAUGACACUGACAAAUGCUGCUUGGUUCCUGGUGGGUUAUCUUGCGUUGAGCCAGAGGUCGGAUCGGAUGAGGAGAUGAGGAGAUGAGGAGAUCAUGACAGUUCCAGAAGAUUCGAUUGCCUCGGAGAUAACCAUGGUUCAGAAUGAGCACACACAGUGGCCGCAGCCUUGUUUCCAGAAGACUGUGUCGAUUUAUAAAUUGAUUUGCCGUCUGUAAUGGUAGAGAUUGUUGAUCCUUCAGAAUAA